rnacentral:rRNA from 1 species
UACGUAGGGUCCGAGCGUUGUCCGGAAUUAUUGGGCGUAAAGGGCUCGUAGGCGGUUUUGUCGCGUCGGGGAGUGAAAACACGGGGCUUAACCCCGUGCCUGCUUCCGAUACGGGCAGACUAGAGGUAUGCAGGGGAGAACGGAAUUCCUGGUGUAGCGGUGAAAUGCGCAGAUAUCGGGAGGAACACCAGUGGCGAAGGCGGCACUCUGGGCCGGUACUGACGCUGAGGUGCGAAAGCGUGGGGAGCGAACAGG